rnacentral:tRNA from 1 species
UGACCUGUAGCCUAGUCUGGGCUAUUGAUGGGAUAAAUAAGGCACCAGCCUCCUAAGCUGGGGAUCGAGGGUUCGAAUCCCUCCAGGUCCG